UAGGAGAGGCAUCGGGCUCCGGCAGAGCAACCUUCUGAUCGACGAAGCAAACCUGACGAUCUGAGAGGAGGACCAGGCCUAGGAGAGGCAUCCUGCACCAGCGGAACAACCUGAUGACAACGUAGCUUCGAAAUCGACUCCGCUGUUGCGCAUCAGUGUCGGUGAGUCAAAAACUUUUAUUUACUUUUAAGGUAACGAAUUUGUGGAGUUUGUAGAUGUAGAUUGUAGAUAUAGAUUGUAGAUUAUAGGUUCGUUACCUUAAAAUAAAUGG